rnacentral:lncRNA from 1 species
GAGAAGGCGUAAGGUCAGCCGGACGGGGGGAGUCUGAUCAGUGACCUCAGCAUGGCCUUUGGGAAGGGACGAGGCCGGCCCACUAUCCCCCUAGCUUAAACAUGCCCAGCCUGGGACCGACCACAGGAUGUCCUUUUCACAUCCACAACUGCGCAACUGAGAGAAGAGCAUGAGCAGCUGAGAAGAUUUUAUUGUGUGUUAAAUAAGGACCUCUUCAGGGAGAAAUUGAUGGCUCAAAAGGUUCACCAACACCUCCCGGAUCCCAUCAUCCCCUCAGCCUGAGUGCAGCUCCUAUUACUGCUGCUGCUCCGAGGAGCCGGGUUUGUACGUAGUCAGCAGGUAAUAAAUACAUCCGUAGACUGGCUCCUCCAUCUGGACCAACGACCUUGCUUCUAGGUGACUCAGUGAGUGGAGAUCAAGCCUCAGAUGCUCUUUCUGCAGUGGAGUCACAUUCUCAUGUCCUGUCUUCAUCUGUAAACUGUGCAUACCACUGAUAACUACCUGAUUCAAGGCUCAGUUGAAAUGACCCAGGUGAAGCUUCUUCCCAGCAAGGAUCUCAUUAAUGAACUUGGUCCCCUUCUUUGAUGAACGUUUGGACACUGACAGGUACUUCUCUGAGCAGUGUCUCCUUCAGAUGGCCUUUGAUGCUUUGCCUCGCAUUCCACAUGUUAUAUGGUGUUGGGCAAGAGGCACACCUGUCUUCUUUCCUGGCCUCUUUCAGGCUAGACUGAUCUCAGACACCCUCCCCUGGAAGGCUGAUUGGAUAAAUACAGACACAAUCAGAUAUACAGUGAAGAGAAUUUCAGUCAAUCAGUGUGUUCAGUAGUUAUACUAGAUAAAAUCAAGACUUUAAAAUAAGGAAGCUUGAGGAAAAGUGACUAAAGGGAUUUAACAAUCUGUUGUGUUGUGUGCAGCCUUCUUUGGAGUGUAAUGAUUUACUUUUGUUGAAAUAAAAAUAUCAAUUACUAAUAUUUCCACGGUGAAAAAGUAGACAAAGAAUCUGAUAAUUCUUCAAGUUUUUAUUGUAUCUUUUUGUAUGUUUUCUUUCAAAACUCAUUUUCAUUUACUGGCCAGAAUUUUACCUCCUGUUGAUGCUGCACAACUGUUGCAAUAAAUUCAGUCGUAUCACACGACUCAGAGAGCAACACUGAUCCCGCUGCCCCACAAGGGAGCUUCCUUGUCUGGCUUCUUUACUCAUCAUAAUUAUUUGGAGAACAAGAUGUGAAACAUUCAAUUAAGUCCGAGUUUAUAUGAUUUUAUAUGUGAUCAAACUUGCUACACAUAAAAAACCUCACAUGUAAUUAUGUGAUACCACAUGCUUUGUGUAUAUCAACAGUGAAACCGAUGCUCAGCUUUUUAAGCAUAAUUGUUCAUUGUGCCUCAGACUAAAACUCUGCUAGUAACCAAAGCCAUUUUCCUCUGAAGCGAUAAACACAAAGCAAAUGAUCUGUUAGCUGCCAACAAGCUUAUAUGUAAGGGAAUAUAAAUAAGACACUUGAUAAAAGGUUCUCCUGUUGCCAAAAGAGGUGGCCAAAUAACCUGAAAAACAAAGCUGAAGAGUGGCUGUUUUGAGAUGCUGAACAAGACGACGAGACGGGAUCUGCCGAAUUCCUCUAAUACACUUAGACUGGACGCUGCCCCCCUCAACACACACGCACCUGUGUGCACGCACGUACAAUCAUUUACACGUGUAUACAACACAACACUUUUGUCUUCCAUAAGUUGCUUGUAACCCAGGUUAGUUCAGCAAUUGCUCCACGUUACCAUUUAGUUUUCUUUAUAAUGUCUAAACAGGAUUAAAGCUAAAAAUAGUUUAAAAUAUUAUUAUAUCCCAAUCUCAGAACUAUUUGAUUGUGUAUAUAAAAAUGCAAACCCAAGAAUGUUACAAAAUAACAUCUUUUAACUAUUUAAGAAAGAUCGUUUCACAUACAGCACCAUGAUAUACGCGAAGGGAGCACUCAGUGCACAUUUUUCAGGUGCUCUGGCCUUGCGUCUUCUCUGUGCCAUGUCACCUCACUCUGGCCUGGCUGACAAGCCAUAUUUUCACUUCCUUCAAAGCAGCAUGUGCUUAAUCUGACGAUAAUUUUUGUCAAGUUCAUUAAUAUGUUUUACUUUUUUAAUGUGUGUGCUUUUGUAUUUUCCUCAUUUUCUUUGGUUCCACAGAGCUGAGGUCCUAUAAAUUAUUUUGCAGAAGGGAUGGGUGACUAUUUUCCAUGUCUUAGUCUCUGGCUUAUUAUUUCAGACAUUUAAUAACCUAAGAGAGGACGCUUUUCAUUUCAGAGUCCCUGUACCAUAUGCCUUAGAAUAAGUUACAGGGGAUUAAACCUGAUCCAUAGUCUCUUCCUGUCAAGUAUGAUAUGAUGUAUGAAUUUUUCCGUUGUGCCUCCACUACCCAUAAGCCAUUGUUUUCUUUUCUACAUAUUAACUCCCACACAUCACUAGAAUAGAAUCCUGUUAUCUUGUGCUGGCUGAGGAUAUUAUGGCAGCCGGGAGGUUUCUGUGUGUUACAGCACAAGUUGUCUUUUUCUUGUCUAAUGUUUUGUCUAGUUUUCAUACUGUGAUGAUGUUUUUAAAGGUCCCUUUUGUGUAUUGUAUUUUGGAUCUGAUCAUUUUUCAGAGAAUUUUUAAAAAAAUUAACCCUUCAGGUCAUGGACCAGAGAAUUUCAUUUGUCAAAUUCCCAUUUCUUUGAGGAAGAGUCUAGGAUCCUUUGAAAUACUAGUGUGGAAAAUAAUAAAAGUGAAAGGAACUUUUGGUUUCUGAAUAAACAUGUAUGUCAUUUGGCUUACC